CCUGAUGCAGCGACGCCGCGUGAGGGAUGACGGCCUCAGGGUUGUAAACCUCUUUCAGCACAGACGAAGCGCAAGUGACGGUAUGUGCAGAAGAAGGACCGGCCAACUACGUGCCAGCAGCCGCGGUAAUACGUAGGGUCCGAGCGUUGUCCGGAAUUACUGGGCGUAAAGAGCUCGUAGGUGGUUUGUCGCGUUGUUCGUGAAAACUCACAGCUUAACUGUGGGCGUGCGGGCGAUACGGGCAGACUUGAGUACUGCAGGGGAGACUGGAAUUCCUGGUGUAGCGGUGGAAUGCGCAGAUAUCAGGAGGAACACCGGUGGCGAAGGCGGGUCUCUGGGCAGUAACUGACGCUGAGGAGCGAAAGCGUGGGGAGCGAACAGGAUUAGAUACCCUGGUAGUCCACGCCGUAAACGGUGGGUACUAGGUGUGGGUUUCCUUCCUUGGGAUCCGUGCCGUAGCUAACGCAUUAAGUACCCCGCCUGGGGAGUACGGCCGCAAGGCUAAAACUCAAAGAAAUUGACGGGGGCCCGCACAAGCGGCGGAGCAUGUGGAUUAAUUCGAUGCAACGCGAAGAACCUUACCUGGGUUUGACAUGCACAGGACGCUGGUAGAGAUAUCAGUUCCCUUGUGGCCUG
rnacentral:rRNA from 1 species